CCUAGCAUGCAUUAUAUCCAUAAUAUACAUUAUAUUGCCAACAAUAUGAAUGCUGCCAUGGAAUUGGCCAAUCCUACAUGGAAAGACGAUAUUUAUAUGUGGCGUCGUUUAGUACCAACAUGGGUUCCAAGAACAUUAAACUGGGAUUUAUCUGGCUUUCUUGUUAUCAACUUUAUGCACGAUUGGAAUGGUAUAAGGUUACCCUGCAUUUGCACUAAUGGGAAUGACCUGAGGACCAAAUUCUUAGUAGAAU